ACUCCUACGGGAGGCAGCAGUGGGGAAUAUUGCACAAUGGAGGAAACUCUGAUGCAGCAAUGCCGCGUGAAGGAUGACGGUUUUCGGAUUGUAAACUUCUUUUAUAUACCAAGAUAAUGACGGUAGUAUAUGAAUAAGCACCGGCUAACUCCGUGCCAGCAGCCGCGGUAAUACGGAGGGUGCAAGCGUUACUCGGAAUCACUGGGCGUAAAGGGUACGUAGGUGUUCUCAUAAGUUGGAUGUGAAAUCCUAUGGCUUAACCAUAGAAGUGCAUUCAAAACUGUAAGAAUAGAGUUUGGGAGGGGUAAGUGGAAUUAGUGGUGUAGGGGUAAAAUCCGUAGAUAUCACUAGGAAUACCAAAAGCGAAGGCGACUUACUGGAACAAUACUGACACUGAGGUACGAAAGCGUGGGGAGCAAACAGGAUUAGAAACCCCAGUAGUCC
rnacentral:rRNA from 1 species